UGUGCUUGUGUGUGUUUUUGUUUAACUUGUGAACAAAGAUUAAAAGUAGGUACAAAAACUAAAUUCCCUUUUGUAUCUCAAAACUUCUUGUUCAGUAUGUCUUGAUACAAAUAAAAAGUGACAUA